UGCCAGCCCUGACUGAGCUGGAUUAAAUUGGUGCACUAGUGGGUGGGGCAGACCCCUGUGCUCAUAGGCCAAAGGAAGAACUUUAUGGUGUCUGCCAGCAUCUGAGUCAGCAUACCUGUACUAGGGACAGAGCAAAUAAUUGAUAUCACUAUCUUCUCCUGCCUGUCAUCAUCAUUGCCAAUGACUUUUUCCUGAAACAGGUAGAAAAACCACAAUGGGAAGCAGAAUUGAGUGGAGCUGCCCUCAAGGAGGCAGGGAACUCCUGAAGCCUCCUUAUGAAGAUUGAGGCUAUAUUCGGAGCCUUUCAAACUUACCAUAACAUCUCCAGGGCGUGCUUUAGUUUCCUCAACUACAGAGACAGGCAGCUCCGUGCAGGGUCCUCCUCAAGCCAAGUUGUAAACCAUUUGUCCAUGUGGGCUGAAGGUCCCACAGUGCUGUGAGGGCCCUUGUCUACACUGGCCUUCAACAAUGCCAUAUUUCUACUCUUGGGAAUACAGCAGUGCUUAAGUGCUUAGGUUCUGGUG
rnacentral:lncRNA from 1 species